CUCUCCCCCUCACCCCUCCCCCAUUUCAUCCCCACCCCACUGGCCGACUUCUCAGGCUCCUCCUCCCAGGGAAUAAAAUUACAAGUCUCUCCAGCUUUCAGAUGAUGGAUCCCCAGGAACCCCUGGGAGUGGGCUCCACAAAGGAGUCCCCUUCCUCGCCCUUGCCUUGCUGUCCCCCAGCUGGGGCCCUUGGAGGAAGCAGAUGUCGUUGCCCACUUCGGACUAGGCUGGUAUGAAGCCAGAAGACCUGGAGCACUUUGGGGGGCUGGGGCUGGAGCUGGCCUUCCAGGCCCCUGGUCUUCUGCGCCUGCGUUGCCCCCAGGGAGAAGUCAGAGCAAAUUCCAUUCCCUUUGGAGCCGUGCCUCUGGGGACUGUGGGCACAGCUGGGACAUACAUUCUGGUUCUGGUCUCCCCCACCCCCCUCGCCUGAAGCUUGUCAGAAAGGGCCACCAUCCCGGGAAGGCAGAAUGGAG
rnacentral:lncRNA from 1 species